CUGGAAUCUAAAAAAUAAAAGAAAAAGAAAACAAAUGAAAAACAGAAAGACCCAUAAAUACAGAAAACAGACUGCUGGUUGCCAGGGGGAGGAGGUGGGGAGAUGGAUAAAGUGAGUGAAAGGCAGUAGGAGUUACAAGUUUCCACUUAUGGAAUGAAGAAAUCAUGGGAAUAAAAGGUACAGUUUAAGGAAUAUAGUCAGUGGUAGUAUAACAGCAUUGUAUGGUGACAGAUGGUAGCUACGCUUGUAUGGUGAGGAUAGCAUAACGUAGAGAGUCGUCCAAUCACUAUGUUGUACACCUGAAAACUAAUGUCACACUAUGUCAAUUCUUAGAAAGAGAAGAAAAAAAGAAAGAAAGAAAGAAAGAAAGAGAAAGAAAGAGAAAGAAAGAAAGAAAGAAAGAAAGGAAGAAAGAAAGAAAGGAGAAAGAAAGGCAAAGAAAAAGGAAGAAAGAAAAUCUGACAGAGAGUUUGGAGGUAAAACGACAGGCCCUAAGAAGCCACGAAGUUCAACUUUCUCAUUUCAUAACUGGGAAAACCGAGGCUCGAGGCAUUUCUUGGUUUGCUGGAGGUCAAACAAGACAUUAGCUAGCAGCAGUUGUGUAAGUGCUACUCAGAUCUCUGGACUACUGGCGCCAUUGAACUAAAGGAAGUAACUGACAAGCCCAUGUGAUUAUCUGCCUGUAUUUCUUGUUCCUUUAUGAAAAGAUUUAGCCACCAUUUAUUAAGCUUCUGAUAAGGGCAGGCUCUGUGUUAAAGUGCUUAUAAAUAUUCUCUCAUUUUAUCAUCUGACCACGGUAAUAUUGUCAGUUUUAUCCUUAUUGUACAGCCAUGACACAGAGAAGUUUUAUGCCACGUCCAACAUCACACAGCUUAUCAGGGGUGGAAUGUCAAUGAGGAGGCAAGUCAGCUUGACUUCAAGUAAAACUCAUGCAGCACCUCACUUGACUUUCUCUUUUUUCCCCGUUCCACCCUUCUUCUGCCACUCCUUCUCCUUCCUAUUUCCAUUUAAAAGCAGUUUUGAUUAAAAUCAAAGGUCAGCUGCCCAUAAGUUAGCUCAAAUGUUCUUUCUUCCUUGCUUUUAGAGACAUAUUACCAUCUUCCAUCAUCCACGUAGAUCAAGAAGGAUUCAGGCUGAGACGAGCAUGCAUAAAAUAAUUGGAGUAUCAUUAUAAGUCAGGCACUUUGGAGGGGUCAUUCUCUGCCCUUACGGAAGCUGAACUUGAUCAUACUUUCUUUUUCCCUCAUAUCUACUAAAGAUCAACUGAUAUAGAAUGGAUCGAGUUGCUAAUAAUCUACUACUGAUUUCUUUAAAACCUAA
rnacentral:lncRNA from 1 species